AGGAAGAAGAUGAGGAACAAGAGAGUGAUUCUUGGAGACGUACCAAUGAAGUUCUGCAGACGUUGACGGGUGCGUGGAGUCGCCCAGAUCCUCUCCUUGUGGAACCAUCCCCUCAGCAGUGUUCGAUCCGCCCAGCAGCAGCAACGGUCAGGAGAAGGCGGUCAUUGAAGUGUCAAGUCCCCAAGCUGGCAUGGUGGUGGGUGUUGUGCUGGGCUACCUUGGGGUUUUUAUCCUAGUUGUUGGGGAUUCAGUACUACUAACGCCAAAGAAGUGAGGCAAGUUUUUGGAGUGAGCGUGCAUGACAU